AGCAAAAAGACAAUCCAUUAGAGCUUGUUCAGAAGCUACAAUUAACUUCGGGAUUAUUUUAGUCGGUGGCGUCAACUGAAGUUCACCAAGGGGAUGAAAAGCGACACAGAGUUGGUCUGUUUUCUGUUGGUCCUUCACACGUGGAGCCACCUUGUCUCCCCAUCGUAUCCUGAUUUCACCUCGUUUGACCCUGGUUUACCAAUCCUGCUGCAUCUUCCACCGUCUUCCUUCAGCAAGGAAGUAGAGGAUCCAGAACAUCUCAGGAGCCUUGGUCCCCCUUGGCCUCAGGAGGAAAAAAAAAUCAUUAAAACAAGCCCAGCGGAGAAUCAGCAAGAAGCAGCUGUACUUGCGAGGCUGUACACCGCGGUCUUAUCUGAAGGAAAGGUGCCCAGUCCGGGACACGGCUCAGGACUGCGAAGCCCGAAUUAGAGCCGUCCGACAGGACGCCUGUCAGAUCUCACCGUCCGCUUGUAUUGAGUUUGUCACCGGUUGACAGGUGGAUGACACAUGAUGGAUCACCACUAAUGUAAAAAGCAUGGUACAUUACAUUUUUCAAUCUAGUUCCCCUAACAGCCCUUCAUCAUUCUGCCAAUUUGUAAAAAGUGUAAUCAAUGUUUCAUUACCGUAGAUAAACAGUAUAUCAGAAGGAGAAUGAA